ensembl:lncRNA
UAGAGUUAGUGAUGUGUGUUAGCGGUGUGUAGAGUUAGUGAUGUGUGUUAGUGGUGUGUAGAGUUAGUGAUGUGUGUUAGCGGUGUGUAGAGUUAGUAGUGUGAUGUGUGUUAGCGGUUAGCGGUGUGUAGAGUUAGUGAUGUGUGUUAGCGGUGUGUAGAGUUAGUGAUGUGUGUUAGCGGUGUGUUAGCAGUUAGUGGUGUGUAGAGUUAGUGAUGUCUGUUAGUGGUGUGUAGAGUUAGUGAUGUGUGUUAGCGGUGUGUAGAGUUAGUGAUGUGUGUUAGUUGUAGAGUUAGUGAUGUGUGUUAGCGGUGUGUAGAGUUAGUGAUGUGUGUUAGUGGUGUGUAGAGUUAGUGAUGUGUGUUA